ACAUAUGUACACAUGUACCACUAUGUCCCUGAAGAGGUUAAUGUUUUUGUGUCAAUUGAAAGAUUGGUGUAUUUCAUAGAGAGGUUACAAAAGUGACAGACGUAGAUGUUCCUAACAAAAUGACGGAUCAGUAAAUCUGUACCUAAAUAUAUUUCUGAUUCAGUCGCAAUUCUUAGAUCUAAACUGAAAAUUUCAGAUUAGUAUUAAAUUGAAAAUUCUUCGUUUCGGAGUAAUACAAAACGCACAGAACGUGAACUACAAUUUUCAUAUUUGAAGUGAAGUUCGAAUCCUUUGUUAUGGUGGACGGACACUCAGUUUUAGGUAUCUAUCUCUACAGUAUACCGAAGACAUUAAAACUUCGUGAUAGAAACCGUGAUCCAAGUACCAUUAAAGAACAACAAUCUUCAACACCAGGAAACUUUAAAGUUUACGAAUAAUUAAUUCACCACACUUCGAAGCGCACAGCACUUGUAGCGAAGUUGAAAAAUUCAAGUUCUACAAUGUUGUUUGUUUAAAUUAUAAUGAUGAAAAUCUUCCGAUUACUUAACGUACACGAAUUUAAUGUCGAACCUAUGAUUGUUUCUUGAACAAACAUUUAAAUAAAAAGAACACAGGCCUCGGAAGAAAGCACAAAUAAAAACCGAUUAAACUAGAACUAGAAUUUUCCAGCGUAGUUAUUUAAACAAAAUUAUUUUAAUUGAAAAGUUGACCAAUUUGUGGGAAUUUGUAAGACUACUGCGUCUCUUUCUCGAGUGCGCCGCUACGAACUUAGGAUUGCAAAAUAAAAAAACCGUCUCUUUAAUUUGAGGACAUAUUUACGAAUUAGGAUAAUGAAUGGAAGGAAUGGACCACGACGCCAUAAACGUGAUCAUUAUUCAGAAGCAAAGGAUGUGGUGGAUCGGUUUUUGUAGGACGUUAGUAAACACAUAGUGGGUUGUUAAAUUGAGAUUAACAUGAAUAAAAUAAUACCACGGA